GGGCUGUUCGUUCAACGGACAGGACUAGCGCCUUCUAAGCGCUGAAUGGAGGUUCGAUUCCUCCACGGCCUACCA
rnacentral:tRNA from 1 species